GCUACCGCAUACAACACACCCCCCUCCAACUUUUUCCUUAUCAGAACGAGCGGUUUGUUUUGGUAUUUCACCUAUGAUGUGUAGAUAAGGAAAAUUACCAACAACGCAUCUUAACAGAAGAAGGCAGUUCAUUUCUUUCUUUUUUAUUUAUUAUUUUAAUAAUCUACUUUACUUCUUAUAUCAACGGGUUAAAUCUGGUGGGCUGGCUCUUCUGUUUGCUACCAUAGGGUUAGAUGAGAUUUGAAAUUACGCGUAAGGAAGAUACGCGCGUCUGUACCGGAGAUGUACGUGGGAAUUUUGCUGGCUUGCGUAUUUAUGUGGGGAAAGGCGAAGACGCGGCAGCCAUCUGCUCCCAGCGCGCCGGAGGGAUGCGAGCUGCUGACGGAGACUCGCCGCGCCUUGAGUGUCACCGCGCGAGGGACGGUGUGAGAUCGGGACACCAAGUGUGUCCAGCAGUACUUUCAUUCAGGGAGGCACCGAAGCAGGAGUCCAUUCAGGAUUACUUUAUUAUGUUUUUGUUCCUGAAAUAGUACUUGGAAAUUGACCCGCAUACGGAACAAAAUGCAGCCUCAAAAGGAACGAUUUGAUUUAUUGUAAUUAUUUUCUGUUUAGUUAAGUUAAAGCUUUUAUAAUAAAAAUGAUUUGCCUUGCGGGAAUCUUUCACUGCAGCCUGUAGCCUAUGUGUUGUUGAGCGCUACGGGAAGUUUCUUUCACAUCCGAUUCGUGCUUUGAAGAUACAAAAUAUCUUUUCCAAGGAAUAUACCGAUAAACGUCUGAUGAGUAUGAGUCGGUAGACAAAGAUGCACCAUUCUAACGUUAGAUUUUUCUGUAGGAAUGUUAAGAAUAAUAAUUUCAAAUAAUAAUUAAAUCUAGACAGAAAAUGGA